AUUGAACGCUGGCGGCAGGCCUAACACAUGCAAGUCGAGCGAGCGGCGGACGGGUGAGUAAUGUAUGGGGACUGCCCGAUCGAGGGGGAUAACUACUGGAAACGGUGGCUAAUACCGCAUACUAUGCGAUAACCCAUAUGGGAUUAGCUAGUAGGUGGGGUAAAGGCUCACCUAGGCGACGAUCCCUAGCUGGUCUGAGAGGAUGAUCAGCCACACGGGGAAUGAGACACGGCCCAGACUCCUACGGAGGCAGCAGUGGGGAAUAUUGCACAAUGGGCGAAAGCCUGAGGCAGCCAUGCGGCGUGGAUGAAGAAGGCCUUAGGGUUGUAAAGUACUUUCAGCGGGGAGGCGUUACCCGAAGAAGAAGCACCGGCUAACUCCGUGCCAGCAGCCGCGGUAAUAC
rnacentral:rRNA from 1 species